UCGGCAGCCCGGCCCGAGCGAGCUCCGCGCGUCCGGGAGGGAGCUGAGGGCUCCCCGGGUUCAAAGGGCCGCAGCCCCGAGGGAAUGCCCUGCUCGCGGUGCCCUUGGGUGCAGAAGCGGACUGCAGGGCGGUGGGACCGGCCUGGGCACGUCUCUCUUUCAGAAGCCCAUACAUUAGAAUGCCAAGGGUGCAGUAUGGCUUUUGAUGCAUCUGCUGAAGCACAAAGUGAAGUCUUGGAAACUACAUCACAAUUUCAAAGAAGAAAACAAAAAUGUAAGAUGGGGGAAGAGACCCGAGCGUGUGAUGUGGGCCGUUAGGAGGUUGGCUGGCUGGACUGGAGGCCACCGUGUUGGAGAACUGGCAGUGCGACUCAGUCCACAGGUGUGGAGGGAUUUUUCUUUAAGGGUCCUCUUCUCAGCACCAAGCACCUGCAACUUAGAGAUAUCAUGACAAACAUCUUUUCCAGGUUAUGACAAGCUGCAGAGAGACUCGCAGAACUCCGAAGGAGGAGCGGCGCGUGGAAUCAGAAAGGCUGGGGACGUGGGGAAGACAGAGCGAAGAUGGCUUCAGAGGAGAGGAACUCUCAGAUCUACCCACAACAACUUAUAUCAGACAUAUCAACAGAUCCCCAUCUGAAAUUUGUGAUAGAAACUGAAGGACGUGCUUACUACCUGAAAAAUGUACUCGGAGUACCUGGGUACAAGGGAACUUCUGCAAAAAACUUAAAAGUCAAAAUCAAACAUCAUGGGGAGAAAUGAGUGGAAAAGACACCCAGAAUACAGGGGAACUUUGCAGAACACUGAAGUCCCAAAAUGAGUGGAAUGGGAGAUAUCAUUUAUUGUUCUAUAAUGAUGCAGCUCUAGUGAUUAUGGCACCUUGAAAAUAAAGCUAUGUCUCCUGAAA